rnacentral:rRNA from 1 species
AUUGAACGCUGGCGGCAGGCCUAACACAUGCAAGUCGAACGGUAACAGGAAGCAGCUUGCUGCUUCGCUGACGAGUGGCGGACGGGGGAGUAAUGUCUGGGAAGCUGCCUGAUGGAGGGGGAUAACUACUGGAAACGGUAGCUAAUACCGCAUAAUGUCGCAAGACCAAAGAGGGGGAGCUUCGGGCCUCUUGCCAUCGGAUGUGCCCAGAUGGGAUUAGCUUGUUGGUGGGGUAACGGCUCACCAAGGCGACGAUCCCUAGCUGGUCUGAGAGGAUGACCAGCCACACUGGGACUGAGACACGGUCCAGACUCCUACGGGAGGCAGCAGUGGGGAAUAUUGCACAAUGGGCGCAAGCCUGAUGCAGCCAUGCCGCGUGUAUGAAGAAGGCCUUCGGGUUGUAAAGUACUUUCAGCGGGGAGGAAGGGAGUAAAGUUAAUACCUUUGCUCAUUGACGGUACCCGAAGAAGAAGCACCGGCUAACUCCGUG